rnacentral:misc_RNA from 1 species
GAUGAAGAACGUAGCGAAAUGCGAUAAGUAAUGUGAAUUGCAGAAUUCCGUGAAUCAUCGAAUCUUUGAACGCACAUUGCGCCCCCUGGCAUUCCGGGGGGCAUGCCUGUCCGAGCGUCAUUGCUGCCCUCAAGCACGGCUUGUGUGUUGGGCCCCGUCCUCCGAUCCCGGGGGACGGGCCCGAAAGGCAGCGGCGGCACCGCGUCCGGUCCUCGAGCGUAUGGGGCUUUGUCACCCGCUCUGUAGGCCCGGCCGGCGCUUGCCGAUCAACCCAAAUUUUUAUCCAGGUUGACCUCGGAUCAGGUAGGGAUACCCGCUGAACUUAAGCAUAUCAAUAAGCGGAGGA